rnacentral:tRNA from 1 species
GCUCGUGUGGCGGAACAGGCAGACGCAACGGACUUAAAAUCCGUCGGACGAAAAUCCAUGCCGGUUCAAGUCCGGCCACGAGCACCA